rnacentral:rRNA from 1 species
AAACUACAGCUAAUACCGCAUGAUGACUGAGGUCCAAAGGCGCAAGUCGCCUGGAGAGGAGCCUGCGUACGAUUAGCUUGUUGGUGGGGUAAAGGCCUACCAAGGCGACGAUCGUUAGCUGGUCUGAGAGGAUGAUCAGCCACAUUGGGACUGAGACACGGCCCAAACUCCUACGGGAGGCAGCAGUGGGGAAUAUUGGACAAUGGGCGAAAGCCUGAUCCAGCAAUGCCGCGUGUGUGAAGAAGGUCUUCGGAUUGUAAAGCACUUUCGACGGGGACGAUGAUGACGGUACCCGUAGAAGAAGCCCCGGCUAACUUCGUGCCAGCAGCCGCGGUAAUACGAAGGGGGCUAGCGUUGCUCGGAAUGACUGGGCGUAAAGGGCGCGUAGGCGGAUGGCACAGUCAGAUGUGAAAUUCCCGGGCUUAACCUGGGGGCUGCAUUUGAUACGUGUGAUCUAGAGUGAGGAAGAGGGUCGUGGAAUUCCCAGUGUAGAGGUGAAAUUCGUAGAUAUUGGGAAGAACACCGGUGGCGAAGGCGGCGACCUGGUCCUUUACUGACGCUGAGGCGCGAAAGCGUGGGGAGCAAACAGGAUUAGAUACCCUGGUAGUCCACGCUGUAAACGAUGUGUGCUGGAUGUUGGGCGACCUAGUCGCUCAGUGUCGUAGCUAACGCGAUAAGCACACCGCCUGGGGAGUACGGCCGCAAGGUUGAAACUCAAAGGAAUUGACGG